rnacentral:rRNA from 1 species
GACGAACGCUGGCGGCGUGCUUAACACAUGCAGGUCGAACGGUAAGGCCCUUCGGGGUACACGAGUGGCGAACGGGUGAGUAACACGUGGGUGAUCUGCCUUGCACUUCGGGAUAAGCCUGGGAAACUGGGUCUAAUACCGGAUAGGACUCCUGGCUUCAUGGUGGGGGGUGGAAAGCUUUUGCGGUGUGGGGUGGGCCCGCGGCCUAUCAGCUUGUUGGUGGAGUAAUGGCCUACCAAUGCGACGACGGGUAGCCGGCCUGAGAGGGUGACCGGUCACACUGGGACUGAGAUACGGCCCAGACUCCUACGGGAGGCAGCAGUGGGGAAUAUUGCACAAUGGGCGCAAGCCUGAUGCAGCGACGCCGCGUGAGGGAUGACGGCCUUCGGGUUGUAAACCUCUUUCAGCUAUGACGAAGCGCAAGUGACGGUAGUAGCAGAAGAAGGACCGGCCAACUACGUGCCAGCAGCCGCGGUAA